ACACUCCUACGGGAGGCAGCAGUGGGGAAUAUUGCACAAUGGGCGCAAGCCUGAUGCAGCGACGCCGCGUGGGGGAUGAAGGCCUUCGGGUUGUAAACUCCUUUCGCUAGGGACGAAGCUUUUUUUGUGACGGUACCUAGAUAAGAAGCACCGGCUAACUACGUGCCAGCAGCCGCGGUAAUACGUAGGGUGCGAGCGUUGUCCGGAAUUACUGGGCGUAAAGGGCUCGUAGGUGGUUUGUCGCGUCGUCUGUGAAAUUCUGGGGCUUAACUCCGGGCGUGCAGGCGAUACGGGCAUAACUUGAGUGCUGUAGGGGUAACUGGAAUUCCUGGUGUAGCGGUGAAAUGCGCAGAUAUCAGGAGGAACACCGAUGGCGAAGGCAGGUUACUGGGCAGUUACUGACGCUGAGGAGCGAAAGCAUGGGUAGCGAACAGGAUUAGAAACCCUUGUAGUCCCAUGA
rnacentral:rRNA from 1 species